ACUCCCGCCUGGGUGACAGAGUGAAACUCUGUCUCAAAAAAUAAAUAAAUAAAAAUAAAAAAUACAAAGUUACUUGUAAUAAAACUCACCAGUUUUAACUCUACGAAGUAAUCAUUUAAGGAGGUUUCUAGAAUUGUGCAGACAUCAGCAGAGUCACACUCUAGAAUAUUUUUUCUUUCCCCAAAUUCCCUCAAGCCUCUGCACAGUCAUUUCCUAAUCUCUGAUGCCCAUGACUGGGCCCCAACAAAAUAAAAAUUUGGAAAACCGACAUCAUUAAAUUUCAACUUUUCUUAGAUUGGGAAUUUUUAUAGUGACUCAUUGUCUUAGUUUUGUGACAUUCAGAGGAAAUAUUGCAUUUUAGGCACUUUUUUGAGGAACUUAAUAAUAGUCCUUUUCAUUGCUCUUUGUGAGUUGUUUCAUUUUUACUGAUAACUGAUAGUUGCUACCAAACCUGGUCUGGCAAACCUAAAUGAAGGAGCUAAAAAAAAAAAAAAAAUGUGCUAUUAUAAAUAGAGAUAGAUGAUGAAUUUGCAGAUAAGAUUAUGUGGAGUUAGUAUUGUACCAUCUUUAUUCUUGCAGAAAUUUGGCUGGUAACAUUAGAGAUACUCCUCACGUGCUUGGAAUGCCUCUCGUUAUCUUCUUCAGGUUGCAAGGGCUCCAGAAGAGUGGCAUAAAGGUGAGUGCAAGAUUUUUGCUGUAGUGGAUUGAAACCACAGAAGUCUGGAACAGAGGCUGGGUUCUCUGAUAAGGGUUUUAGGAAGCUGAAUCCAGGUGUGUCUGGCUAUGUAAUUACGUGGAGCUCAGGCUGCUUCUCCAAGUUCACUUCAGGUGUAGGAGGAAUUCAUUCUGGGGGGGUUGAAAGACUGGGUUUUCUGUUUCUGUGCUGGCUGUCGGACAGGAGACACUAACUCCAGAGGCCACCUGCGUUCCUUCUCACCCGGCCUUUUCCAUUUUCCAACCAAUAACAGCUCAUGGAGUCCUUCUCAAGCUCCCAUUCUUUGUGACGUCACCUUCUCCUGACAGCUAGAGAAACCACUGGCAUGUAUGCAGCGAUGUGAUAAGAUCCAGUUUACACAGGGAAUCUCAUCAUCUUAAAGUCAUAUAGCUGGCAUGUAACAACAUAAUCACAGGAAUGAUGUCUCCUCACCUUAACAGGCUUCAGAGACAAGGGUGUGGCGUGUUUGGGGACCAUUUCAGAAAUUCCAUCUACCACAGUCAGACACUCACAUUCCCCCAUCUGCAAAAUACAUUCACCCUCUCCCCUAAGGUUUCCAAAUUUCAUGUCAUUAAAGCAUAAGUUCAAAGUGAAAAAUGUUAUGUAGACCAUAUCAGAUCAAAAGUUUAAAAUCUUAUCUUAAUCAUCUACACCAAGUGUGAAUGAGGCUUCUGAGGGUGUCCAUUAAGUCCAGAUCCUUGACAUAAUUCCCUUCCCUCUAUCAACCUGUUAAACUCAGCAAACAGCUUAUCUGCCCUCAGUGUGCAAUGGUGGGACAGACAUAGAAAAACGAUUCUAGUGAUUCUUGUUCACAAAGGGGGAAGGUGGAAGUACCAAAGAAGUCACUGAUCCAAAACCUUUUUGAAAUGGGGCUGAGCAAAGCCCAGCAGGAAUUUCUUGGUUAGGAUCCACAACCUGGAACUAACCCUCUAUUACACGGGCUUUGCCUCUGGGCUCUGCAUUUCUUUCUAUCUUUACAGAAAUCAUUUCAUUUUCCUUCUUCUCCUACUCCUUUGGUUCUUCCCCUUUCUCCUUAUGGCAGCAUCCUCCCCUUAAUCCUUGGCACAUCAUCCCCAGCAGAAUUAGUCAAAUGUUGCCCAUGUCAUGAUCCUGACCAUCUCCAUGAGGGCCUGUCCUUGGAACCCCUGCUCCCCUUGGACCCUCUUCACUGACCUGACCUGUCUGUCAUGAUUGCUUUCAGCUGACCUGGCUGGUUUAGGAAAAAACCUAGAAUUGUGGAGAUGCAGAACCAAUCUCUGCCCUCUCUUAUCUCCAAGAGAGGAAGAAAAUAACAGGUAUCGUCAUGGAGAAAUGACCCACGUGAGGGCUGAGACUCUCCAGCAGUUACAGCAGAGGAAACUCCCUGAAGAAUGGUGGAGCUGAGAUCCCAGGCCAGGAAAGCAGGCUUGUGCUAAGCAUUAUUUAAUCUUUAUGUCCUCCCUGCCCCAGUCUACCAGCCAGCGAAUGACAACUGAUUGAGUAUAAAUACUAGAACUACAGAACGGUGAUAAAGGGUUUGUCCAGUGAAAUGCCCUUUUAUUUGUUUUCACAGUGGAAAUUGCUGUUUUUCAUCCAGAGUUUUCUGAAACGCAGCAGUGAGUUCCUGGAGGGUGAGUUAGGUGCUUUGGACCUGGAGGCUGAGGCCAAGGCUUGUGUGGUCGAUCUGCUGCCACCAUGUGGUGACGGAGCCUGGGAGAGUCUUAGUCUUUCUUGGCUUCACUUUCCUUGUCAGUAAGGUAGGGGCUUAUUGCUCCUCUCUGAGGUCCCUUCCUGCUGUGUUUUCUCUGAGUCUCUGAGGAACUGAGAUGGUUUUUAACGCCGCACAGCACCGGCAGCUGAGACCUGACUCUGUGUCUCCUGCAGGGGCCUGAGCUGAGUCCACACCCUGGAAGCCCAGAACUGAGGGAACAGAUGAAAGAAAGAAAGUCAGCAGGUUUAGGGGAUGAGAACAACCCACAAAGGAUAAGCCAUUGGUAAAUGAAAACCAAAGAAGGGGGGAAUAAGGACAAAUUGGGACAGAAGCCUCAGGGGAAAUGGUCAAUGCCUCUCAUCAUCCAAACUCUCAAGGAGCAGCACGAGCUGAGCAGUGGGACUGAGAGAAACUUACUCCACAGGAGUCUCCUGCCCCUGGCCAGGGAGAGCCACAGGGAGGAUCAGAGCUGGUUUAUAGUGAGGGGCAGCAGCAACUCCAAGAGGGGGAAGAUGUGACCAUGAGCCUCCGCCCCAGACCCAGGAGCCUCGACCUUGGGGCUGCGGUAGCAAUGGAUGCUCUUCAGGUCGGUGUGGGUUAGAGGGAAUAACCAUGCUGGGAGAAGGGUUGGAGACAUCCAUUCUUACAUUAAAAAGCUCUGCCCUAGGUCAGGUGCCAGAGUAAGUGUCCCUUGCUAGUAUAAAAUGCAGUGAUACUUAUAAUAUUCUUCUGUACUUACAGUUGAAAGAGGUUUCCAAAUGGUAUCUCAUAAAUAUUUAUUGGAUGUUUAAUUUUCUUUACACUGUGUUAAACACUUGGGAUUCAGAUAUUAAUGUCUCCCCAAAGGGACUCAAGCUCAUGAGAGAAAGAACACAAACAUAGCAUUUUAAGAAAAUAUGGAAGUUCCCCCACAUCGGGGAGUUGUGGCAACUCAGAGAAUGGGAGUUUAGGUGCAGACAUUGCUCCUAAUGACAGGGGGAGCCACAGGAGGAAUUCCUCAGAACAGACUCAUUUUCCUCCAAUGUCCCACAGAGAGGGAUCCUGGGGCAUGAAUGGUGUAAGGCAAGGGCCAGUCUAAGGAAAGGGAUUUGCUGCAUCCUGGGAGAAAUCUCAGCACCCCUGACAGGACAUUUGGGACAGGAAUGCAGGUGAGAGGAGGUUUGCAAUCGGUUUCAUUCAAUAACUGAUGAACACUCUCCUGAGAACUCCCUCAGUGCCGGACCCUGAGCUGGGCACCACGAACACAGAGAUCAGUAAGACACGAUCUCAGCUGUCACAGAACUCUCAGUCUAGUGACCAGCGAUUCCUGAGAAGUGUAGUGAUGAUGGGUUCAUUGGAACCAGUGGCCCAUGCUGCAUGGAGAUGACCCCAGUGGAUGCCCUGGUCUCUUUUCUGCUUUUUUUUUUUCAAACAGCUGAAUGACCUGUCCUGGGCCAGUGACCCUGGACUUCAGCCAGAUGUCAGCAUCUCAAGGCACAACCAACACCUUGGCUCCAUGUUGGGUCAAAACAGUUAACACAGCCAAGGUAUUCAAGGUAUCAGUAGAUACUGACUAUGUCCUGGCCAGCUGUGAAAAGAAAGAGUUCUCUACACUAUAAUAUAUCUGCUUAUCGAGACAACUUGGAUUCUCAAUUUGUUGAGCUUAACAAAUGCAUCUGCUGAGCCCCUGUGGGUAAAGCGUUAUGCUAGUUACGGUGGGUGAUACAGAGGAAGCCCAGAAGAGUCCUUAGUGACAAGAGCUUGAGAUUUCUGCUGCCAGCUCAGCCUGAGUUGCCUGGAGAUGAGAAAAUCAGUAGCCGACACCCACAGGUGCAUUCUGGUGAAAGGGUCGAUGAAUUGAGUGUCACCAAGUCUCAGCCUGGAUCCCCUCCCUUUGUUUCAUUUCACAGAUUACAUGUUGACAGUGGGAAAAUCAACAGAAAGACCAUAAGGCUAGACUCCAAAAGACUUAGUAAUGCUGCUGGGUGGGCCAUGAAUUUUUAAAAACACGUGAAGGGCCUUCUCAGAAGUGAAGUUUUAGGAAAUAUAAAAUGCAUAGCUGGGAUACAUUACAGUGUAAUGAUAGAAAAUAUAUUGUAUAUAGCAGCAUCUAAUAACUUCCGGAGGAAAAAAUAUUUUUCACAUUACUCCAAUUAUGGCCUUAUAUGUCAAAAAAACACAAAAACCAAAAAAACCCUAAGAGAACCACUGACAUCCAUUGGUUUUGCAGAAACAGGAUACCCUUAGUGCACUUAAAGUUGGAAACAUGGCUCUGCCUUUAGGGCCAUGCAAUGAAACAGACUGUGGUAGUUGACAUAGGAGGAGCAGAGUGGAGUUUAUAACAAUGGCCACAAGACGGUGAAGAAACUGCUUUGGGAUUUUUAAGCAGCAGACGAGGUAACUCAGAGGAAUGUUAGACAAUAGCACAAAAGCAACUUUAGCAAAGUUUUUCAUUCAGUGGGCACUACAUAGUUAGUCCACGCUCUGCAUCCAUUCUUUCACAGUCUGUCCCUUCAUCGACUUGGGCCUACAAUGACGUUUCUGAGACAGGAGAGGGAUCAACACAACAGCACACACACCUGAAAUAAAGAAUGAAUUUCUAAUUUUCAGAUUUUAGUCUCUGACCUAACCAAAAAAGUGACUACCAUAGAUGUUAACUAUUAAUAACAUAAAUGAUGCUCACAAAUAUGCAGAUCUUAUAAUGACAAGGUAAAACAGCUUAAAAAGUAGAUAGUAGAACUGUAGUCCAGGGACGCUAAUAGAAGUGACCCAUAAUAUUACAUCAUCUCCACUUCCAACAAAAAUCAGGUAAAAGAAGGAAGGAGACUGGCAACCCAAUGCACAGAACUAUAUAUAAGAUGCAUACUAUUUAUUGGUUGGUUAUAAACGAGUGGAAAUAAAUCUUUUUACAUACUGACUCUUGGUUUAUGUCACAGAGGCACAGCAUGGAACAAUAGACAACCAGACUGUAAGAUAAAUUCAUCUGAGUAACUGGACUUUUGUAAACCAUUAGACAUUUGAGAAACCAAAUUUAAAGCUGUUUGUGAGCCAUGUUGCCUAUCAAGGUGGAAAUUCAGGAGAGAUACAUAAUGACAAAUAAAUGCUUUUGUGUGUGUGUGACACAGUGAUCCGAUGCAUUGGGAAUGUGAUCUUGUGAAUCACUCAGGUGAGCAAGCCUGACAUGAUUGGGCAUAAAGGUCAGUAACUGAAGAGGUACCAAAUGUGCUCCAUGUGUCAGCUCUGACCUAAGGAACUGAAGGCUUUCACCCUCCCUUGAAGUAAUGAAGCUGACACAGCAGGGGGCUGCAAAUUCCACUGCAGAUCAGGGUCUUGAUGGUGACAUACUGAACAGUGGACUCCCACUUGAGUUACAGAGUAGGAACUACUGUUUCCUAUGGCUACUGAAUAUCCCACAAACUAACCGCCUCAGCUUGGCAUUAUUAAUUAUUUUAAAGCUCUCAGUGGUCUCAUUUUAUAGUAGAUCACAUCAGAAGUAAGACUAAUAAGGAUCAGGUACAAACUCAUAUUUGCUGGACAUAUCAUUGCAUUAUCAUCCCAAAGUUUCUGGCACUACAUAAUGCUGGAGUAGAUUCUUCAAUAUUACAUUUUAAACUAAGGGAGAACGUUGGCUUCUAAAUUUUACAACUAUAGCAUUGCAGCUAAACACAAGUGCAAGUGGCAGCCUUAUCAACUGCAUGAACAAUCUUAAGGAAAACUUAUCGGUGAACAUACAGAACAUUUCACAUGCAUUUGUCUACAAAGUACAAACUCUUCCCAACCUCAGAACUUGAUAUGGGUUAGGACUUUCCUCUCCCUUGGGCUGGUGAUAAAGUUCCAACUGAAAUGAGAAAGAUUCUUCAUACCUGGUAAAUAUGCAAGUUUCCUAAGAUAUUGCCAUUGGCCAAUCAAACCUGAAUCCGAAAAGCAUUUGUUUCUAGCAGGAUAUAAGAUCAAUAUGCAAAAAUAAAUUGUAUUUAUGCAAUUGCACGGCAGAAUUUAAAUGUAAAAGGAAUACCAUUUAUGAUAAUGUCAAGUGUAUAAAAUCCAUAAAUAUGAAUAUGACUGAAAAUUAGAGCAUAUUUCACAGAGAACAUAGUGCAGGUCUAAUAACUAGAAAAAUAUGGCUUGUUCAUGUGUAAGAAUAUUGCUGAGAUGUUCAUUUCCCCUAAUUUGAUCUAUGAAUUCAAUGCAAUCCAACUCAAAAUUUCAGCAUGCAUCAUUGGUAGAAAAUGGUCAGUUGAUUCUAAAAUUAAGAUGAACUGGCACAACCAAAAUGCCUGUAUAACGAAGAACAAAAUUGGACAGCUAGCUCCAACUGAUUUAAAGAACAAUCAUAGAGUUGUAAUGGCCACAACAGAAUGCUUUGGCAUGUGAUUAGAUCAAAAGAAAAUAGAGUCCAAAUAUAAACCAAUACAUAUAUUGAGAACAGAUAUAUUGGAAAAGCAAUGUAUUUUAAAAUGAUGCAUAAUAUUUCAACAAAUGAUUGAGAAUUUUCUUUUUAAGCAAUGGAUGUGACAUAUUUGUAACCAUAUAAAAAUAAACAAGUAGAAAAAAUUGAA